rnacentral:rRNA from 1 species
UACGAAGGGGGCUAGCGUUGUUCGGAAUUACUGGGCGUAAAGGGCGCGUAGGCGGCCGAUCAAGUCAGAUGUGAAAGUCCUGGGCUUAACCUGGGGACUGCAUUUGAUACUGAUUGGCUUGAAUUCGGGAGAGGAUAGCGGAAUUCCCAGUGUAGAGGUGAAAUUCGUAGAUAUUGGGAAGAACACCGGUGGCGAAGGCGGCUAUCUGGGCCGAUACUGACGCUGAGGAGCGAAAGCGUGGGGAGCGAACAGG